GUGUGCUGGGGCCUGAAAUACCAUGACCACUAAGGCAGUUUUCCUAGUCACCCCUGGGGAUGGCCGCUUUCUGGCAUGGGGUAGUACCCGCAGAGGUAAUG